ACUAAUCCAUUAAAUGUAUGUUUUCCACACUUAAGGAACCAAAGAAACCUGCAGGCUCUGUCUAUUCACCCAGGGACCGCUUUCCAGGUGGUGAAAUGAACCCAGCUUCUUAGUGGAAUGGAGCGAUCACUGGAUGCCAGUAACACUACCCUACAAUGUGUAGAGGGGGAAAUGAAGGCUAGCUCAUCCGAAGGAAACUACAGGGGAAUUUUCGAUCAGCAGAAUGCAAUUAUCCAAGUUGGAAUUGUUCCAGGACACCAAAAGCGAACUUUAAAGGCACAAUUUACCAACUGGGUGCACCAGACACCGGGCUGGCUCCUGCACGCCUCUCCUCCAGUUAAGCAGCGCAACCUGCCACCAUUUUGCCAGUGGACUCUAUUUACUUGGGUUCUGCAUUACCUGCCAAGCGCUCACUCUGUGGAAUUCCCAGCAAAGAGAAAGGAACAACUGGGGGAAAUUUUUGUUAACAUCCUUUCUUUUAACUUUCCAUAGCAGAGGGGAAUGCAUCAAUGUGGAGCAGAUGUGCUGAGACCAAAUGCUCUCUUCCUCAUGAUUACAGUUGGUUAUACCUGUGGAUAGGCGAGCUAAUUCCGCUGCAAAUGUGCAAGAGAGGGUAGUACUAACGUACAAUGUGUGGUCCUGGAGGCUUUGUUCCCACGUAAUAGGGGGCUUCGUUUCAUGAGACCUGGCACGUUGAGAAGAAAACUGAAGCAAAACAGCCCCGUGCAGUUGGCAUCAUGGGCUAUCUCUGUGCAGCUUAGAGAGUGCCUGAGUUCUCAGUGAUGUUGACAUAAAUAUCAUGGAAUUUAUUAUUUGGAGUUGGAAAAUAAUGAUUCUUUCUACUUAAUGUGCUCAGCGACUCUGCACCCGAUUGUUUUCUGCCAUUUGAGAAUGCCCGAGGAUGUCAUUAAAACUACGUGUAUCAAUAUUAAACCUUUACAAGUAGUUGACUAAAUGAGCUGUUAUUAUCUUUGUUUCUGACAAUAGUGUACCUUUUUACUUCAUUUAUCAGUAACUAGG
rnacentral:lncRNA from 1 species